GCCUACGGGGGGCAGCAGUAGGGAAUCUUCCACAAUGGGCGAAAGCCUGAUGGAGCAACGCCGCGUGGGUGAAGAAGGUCUUCGGAUCGUAAAACCCUGUUGUUAGAGAAGAAAGUGCGUGAGAGUAACUGUUCACGUUUCGACGGUAUCUAACCAGAAAGCCACGGCUAACUACGUGCCAGCAGCCGCGGUAAUACGUAGGUGGCAAGCGUUAUCCGGAUUUAUUGGGCGUAUAGGGAACGCAGGCGGUCUUUUAAGUCUGAUGUGAAAGCCUUCGGCUUAACCGGAGUAGUGCAUUGGAAACU
rnacentral:rRNA from 1 species